AGAAAUCAAGACUCCAGAGACAUGGUGGGACAAAUGGAAACAAAACUUCACGUUAUUUGAAAUGUCCCAGUCUACCAGGGCUGGUCUUUCUAACACUUCAGAGAUCUCUGUACUCCCCUGUGGCUCUGUAUGACUCUUCUUCACAUCCCUUUAGCUUGUGCAAUGAGCAAGCUUUAAAACGGCAUUUCCAGCUGAGAUCCUGAGAUGAUUUUUAAAGCUGCUGGGAUGUGGCCGGCUGUUUGUGCUUCAGAACUGCCAAAGCAUGUGUAUGAGUUAUUUCUAAGGGACAGAAUAGGAAUGGAGAAUUAAGUGUGCACAUUCUUCAAAACAAUGGAAAAGUCCACACACAGACAACAAGGAAUGAGUAUGUGAGUGUGCUUAUACAUGUAUGUGUAUAUGUGGAUGGGUGUGGGUAUGUGUACGUUUCUGUGUCUGCACGUGCAUGUACAUACAUGGUGUUCAUGUAUAAGUGUAAAUGUGUAUGUGCAUGUUUGCAUCCACACAUGAGAUCCAGUGUUCCUGUUUAUAUCCUAGGGAAAUUCUGGAGCAGAGCGCUGGGGGAAAUUAGAAGUCUUUGCAGUGGAAGGCCUGGCUCCUGGAUGAGUGCACUGCCAAGCAUAUGUGAUGAUGUGUCCACCAUUGAGAAGAUGAAAUAUCCUCUUGCCAACACUGAUGACUAUAUGGGAUAGUUGGAUAGCAGUAGAGAGAAGUGGCUGAGAUUCUACUUGUUUCUGUAAGGAGAUAUACCUGAGUCCUGGACUCAUAGCUCACUGGGUUUGUGAUCCUGUCUCAUCAUCUAUGGCUUAUCAAGUAUGCCUACCUUAUGUGGUCUUUGCGAGAACUAAUUGAAAGUGCAGUUGAUAAUACAUAAAAAACACAACAUUGUUGUGAUAUUGUGAUUUGGUUUUCAUCCCCAUUUCUGGCCCAGAGCUCCUAAAAGGCUUGGAAUUCCUAAAUAAUGAGUGUGAUAAGCAUGUCUUGAUAUUCAUAACAAACACUUUUCAACCUCACCUGAAUUUAUGUUAAUGAGGUGAUUUUUUUUGGAAAGCCCCUUGAUAACCACAGGAUGGGGGCUGGUUGCUGGGGAAGUAAACCAAGUGAUUAAUACUGGAAUUUUGUAUCAACCUCCUGACCUCAGAAGUGUGGAGAGGUGCUGGCAAUUGAGUCAGUCACCAAUAGCUAAUGAUUUAAUGUCUGUGUAAUGAAACCUCCAUAAAUCCCCAAACGGAUGGGGUUUGAAAAGCUUCCGGGUUGGUGAACCAGAACACAUCUAUGUGCUUUUAGCUCCAGCUUCAUGGAAACAGCUCCUAUGUAGACCUCCAUUUGACUAUUUAUUUGUAUCCUUCAAUAUCCUUUGCAAUAAACUGGUAAUUUAGUGAGUAAAAUGUUUCUCA
rnacentral:lncRNA from 1 species